rnacentral:rRNA from 1 species
GCUUGUCUCAAAGAUUAAGCCAUGCAUGUCUAAGUAUAACUCUUUUACUUUGAAAACUGCGAACGGCUCAUUAUAUCAGUUAUAGUUUCUUUGAUAGUCCCUUACUACUUGGAUACCCGUAGUAAUUCUAGAGCUAAUACAUGCAUCAAUACCCAACUGUUCGCGGAAGGGUAGUAUUUAUUAGGUAUAGACCAACCCUCUUCGGCCGUCUCAUUGGUGACUCUGAAUAACUUUGGGCUGAUCGUAUGGCCUUGUGCCGACGACGUUUCCUUCGAAGGUGUGCCCUAUCAACUGUCGACUGUGAUAUAGACGCUCACAGUGGUUUUGACGGGUAACGGGGAAUCAGGGUUCGAUUCCGGAGAGGGAGCCUUAAAAACGGCUACCACAUCCAAGGAAGGCAGCAGG